rnacentral:lncRNA from 1 species
CUUUAGGAGGGUGGAUCACUUGAGGUCAGGAGUUUGAGACCCUCCCUUUCUGUUUCUCUCUCUCUCGCUCUCUCUCUCUCUGCCUGUUUCUCUCCUUCUCUCUCUGUCUGUCUCUGUCUUUCUCUGUCUGUCUCUUUCUCUGUCUGUCUGUCUCUCUCUCUCCCUUCCUGUCUGUUUCGGUGAAACCCUGUCUCUAGCAAAAAAAGAAAAAAAUAUAUAUAUGUAUAUAUACACACACAUAUGUAUAU